GCCUACACAUGCAGUCGAACGGUAACAGGUCUUCGGAUGCUGACGAGUGGCGGACGGGUGAGUAACGCGUAGGAAUCUGUCUUUGAGUGGGGGACAACCCAGGGAAACUUGGGCUAAUACCGCAUAAGCCCUGAGGGGGAAAGCGGGGGAUCUUCGGACCUCGCGCUGGAAGAGGAGCCUACGUCUGAUUAGCUAGUUGGUAGGGUAAAGGCCUACCAAGGCGACGAUCGGUAGCUGGUCUGAGAGGACGACCAGCCACACUGGGACUGAGACACGGCCCAGACUCCUACGGGAGGCAGCAGUGGGGAAUUUUUCGCAAUGGGGGCAACCCUGACGAAGCAAUGCCGCGUGAAUGAAGAAGGCCUUCGGGUUGUAAAGUUCUUUCGUGGAGGACGAAAAGGUGGGUGCUAAUAUCGCCUGCUGUUGACGUGAAUCCAAGAAGAAGCACCGGCUAACUCCGUGCCAGCAGCCCGGGG
rnacentral:rRNA from 1 species